GGCUGCAGUGAGGAAUAUUGGUCAAUGGACGAGAGUCUGAACCAGCCAAGUCGCGUGAAGGAAGACGGAUCUAUGGUUUGUAAACUUCUUUAGUGCGGGAACAAAGCGGCGUCGUGACGCCGGAUGAGUGUACCGCAAGAAUAAGCAUCGGCUAACUCCGUGCCAGCAGCCGCGGUAAUACGGAGGAUGCGAGCGUUAUCCGGAUUUAUUGGGUUUAAAGGGAGCGCAGGCUGCGAGGCAAGUCAGCGGUCAAAUGUCGGGGCUCAACCCCGGCCUGCCGUUGAAACUGUCUUGCUAGAGUUCGAGUGAGGUAUGCGGAAUGCGUUGUGUAGCGGUGAAAUGCAUAGAUAUGACGCAGAACUCCGAUUGCGAAGGCAGCAUACCAACUCGCGACUGACGCUGAGGCUCGAAAGCGUGGGUAUCGAACAGGAUUAGAUACCCGAGUAGUC
rnacentral:rRNA from 1 species